GCACACAGGCUGUGAGCUCGAUGAGUAGGGCGGGACACGUGAUAUCCUGUCUGAAGAUGGGGGGACCAUCCUCCAAGGCUAAAUACUCCUGACUGACCGAUAGUGAACCAGUACCGUGAGGGAAAGGCGAAAAGAACCCCGGCGAGGGGAGUGAAACAGAACCUGAAACCGUGUACGUACAAGCAGUGGGAGCCUUCGUAAGAGGGUGACUGCGUACCUUUUGUAUAAUGGGUCAGCGACUUAUAUUCUGUAGCAAGGUUAACCGUAUAGGGGAGCCGAAGGGAAACCGAGUCUUAACCGGGCGUUAAGUUGCAGGGUAUAGACCCGAAACCCGG
rnacentral:rRNA from 1 species